GAGUUUGAUCUUGGCUCAGGACGAACGCUGGCGGCGUGCCUAACACAUGCAAGUCGCACGGGACCCGCAAGGGUCCAGUGGCAGACGGGUGCGUAACACGUGAGGAACAUGCCAAUCGGCGGGGGAUAGCCGGCCCAACGGCCGGGUAAUACCGCGUAUCGCCGCCUGGGGGCAUCCCCGGGCGGUGAAAGCAGCAAUGCGCCGAUUGAGUGCCUCGCGGCCUAUCAGCUAGUUGGUGAGGUAAUGGCUCACCAAGGCGACGACGGGUAGCUGGUCUGAGAGGAUGAUCAGCCACAUUGGGACUGAGACACGGCCCAGACUCCUACGGGAGGCAGCAGUGGGGGAAUAUUGCGCAAUGGCCGAAAGGCUGACGCAGCGACGCCGCGUGUGGGAUGAAGGUCUUCGGAUUGUAAACCACUGUCGCGAGGGACGAAAUUCUGACGGUACCUCGAAAGGAAGCACCGGCUAACUCUGUGCCAGCCGCCGCCGUAAG
rnacentral:rRNA from 1 species